CGCAAAUUAAAUCAUCUUAAUGUUAAAACUAUGUGAAAUAACUAAUCAAUAGUUUGUUGUUCGUAUGAAUCAACAUUUCUCAUUCAAAAUUAACUUGUAGAGCAGCCAUGGUAGGGUUGAAUCACCACUUGUUGAAAGCCUCAACUUAAUGGAGUGAUUUAGGCGAACAUGGAGAAGUACCACGAGUGUGUGUGUGCAGUGUGCACGUGCAUGUGAUUCACAAAGAGUGACAAAGAGAGCAAAACAGAGAAAGACUGUCUCACGGAUGUCAGCUGGCACCUGUUGAUCAGGCUGUGUGAAUUCAACACACACACACACACACACACACACACACACACACACACACACACACACACACACACACACACACACACACACACACACACACACACACACACACACACACACACACAAAUGGUGUCUGCCGUCGUGAAAACAAGAUCUUGCAGUGCCCACACGUGCAGCAUAUCUCUGACGUUUACAAGCUUAAACGCCAUAAAUGUUGAUGUAGCCCAUCUUUCUGGAGCCUCUGCCUCAACUGACCAAUACCGGACUGAAUCCUACACACAAAAUCGUUAUGUUAUCCUCACAUGGAGGGGAAAGGGCCUGUCAUACAGUUAUUCGCUUGAGGCUGUUUGUUACCCAGCAUGGACAAGCGCAGGAUGUGAACAUGCAGCCGUUCCACUCAGGUUCACAGUUAAAGUGCCAUAGCUCUGUGAAUCCACUUAGCACUGCUGUGCGAGCGAGCGUCCAGCGUUAGACAGAUGCUGGGGAACGACGUGGUAACGGCCAAACCGCUUUGGAAUGAUACCACAGUAAGAGCAAUGUUGCUACGGCAACUGCUGUAAUUAUUUCUGGAGAUGGACCAACGAUGAACAGUGACUCAUUUGAAUGCAGAACUAAAUAAAAUGAAGCGGUUCGAUUUAAACGUUGCGUACCAUUCGGUAACAAACAAGGAACAACAAGAGGUGGUAUUCUUUCCGACUGAGCAAGAGGGGAACCAAGAGUUCUCCUUGGGCUACUGUAGUUCCUCUUCCUCUGCCUCCUCCUCCUCCUCCUCCUCCUCCUCCUCCUCCACAUGUUAGGCAGGAAGACCACAGUAAGCAGAGGGUUUGGGGGCACUCUACCCAUGUCUCUCAUGUCCGGUAAGGUGGAAACAAUGUGCCACAAAACUAAGCCUUCAAGGAGACAAAACAAACACAUCCACACAGAGGACAUACACAAACUCACACAUAGAGGACACACACACACACACACACACACACAAAGGCUGGCUGUAAUGUGACGCUGUUUUUUGCCAGCAAGCUGGACAGGCCAUCUGGAACAAACACGUACACAUGGGCACACACACACACACACACACACACGUUUCCUUCAAUUAUGUAAAUAAUAGUGAAGUGGUAUACCCAAAGCUCGCUUUUUGACCUUCGCUCAAUUGCUCUUAUUAUAUCACUCCAAUAGCCACACGCAGUCACCUUUAGUCAAUGAAUCACACUGUGGAAUAUGAUAGGCAUGCGUAUUUUCCGUUUAGUUUCACGGGAAGUUUUGGAGAUUGGACACUUUCUAUGUACCGUACCUCGGAUGCAUUGGGUCGGUGUCCGCUGCAAUUAUUCCGCUUUUCGGCAGUAGUUCGGUGUUGCUAUGGUAACCCGUCAAAACCACUCCCUGGGACUCCUGCUGCUGACGACUCAUACUCAAUUUUCUUUAUCUUCUUCCUCUUGUUUUUUUUUCCUCUAUUCGUAUGCUGUCAUUGCACACCCAAUCACCAGUGUGCGGCUGACCUGAUCUUUUUCCGCUCACUAUCUAUCAUUCUGGUGAACUGUGUUGUGACCGAUUCAUUUUGAAAACAAUGAACGCCGCCUAUCUCCCUCCAGUGUCCCUCUCUUCUUUGCCACUUUUCCUGAACACAAGUCAUGGCUGGACAGAGUCGGCCG
ensembl:lncRNA